GGUGAACGCUGGCGGCGUGCCUAACACAUGCAAGUCGAGCGACCAGACGGUAAGCUCGUGCUCUUGCGGUUAGCGGGGGACGGGCGAGUGAGACGUGCAUAGGCUUCUUAUUUGACGGGGAGGAUUACGGGAGACAGGAGACGAUAAUGGAGAAUAUAUUCUACGGGUGGGAGCAGGAGAGAUUGAGGGUUUGCGCGUUAGAAUGAGCCGGUGUCGCAUUAGCUAGUUGGCGGGGUAAGGGCACACCAAGGCGACGAUCCGUAGCUGGCCUGAGAGGAUGAUCAGCCACACUGGAACUGAGACACGGUCCAGACUCCUACGGGAGGCAGCAGUGGGGAAUAUUCGACAAUGGGCGCAAGCCUGACGCAGCCACACCGCGUGGGUGAAGAAGGUCUUCGGGUCGUAAAGCCCUUUUGUUGGGAAAGAAAAGCAGCAUGUUUAUACCUCGAUGUCCUGACGGUACCCAAAGAAUAAGCACCGGCUAACUUCGUG
rnacentral:rRNA from 1 species